CCUGACAUUGCAUGAAUGCACGUAGGGUUUCAAGCCCAACGCAGACGGACCCAGAUGUGGCUUUGCUGCCGCCAUUCGACUUCUGGCAGCCGGAAGCUUUUGGCGGAAGAAGGAGCGCUCGGCACCUGGCAGCAGCGCCUCCUUCUCUACCCAGCAGAGCGUUUUCCUUUCCGUCCUGCAGAUUCAACCCAGACACCACGCUGCUGGAGGCCGUUCCACGAUGCUGGGCCCGCUGGAGGGAAGGGGAGACGCGGGGGGAGAACGGAGAACAGAAGGAGACAAGAACUGGGCAGAAUGUCAGACCCUCCUUGAGGUGUGGACGGGUGUGCGUUGCAUUGGACUGCGCAGAAGACUCCAGUCCGUGUCCUGUCAAGAGACCUGCGAAUUGUGAUUUUAAGAAAGUUUACCUUGUUCGCAUGUUCCGAUCUAUUGCUUCUUGGCAGCUGCUCGGAAAUGGCAGCGACCCAACGGAAACCUCAGGCAUGCAGGCUGGGGAGGUGAGGGGAGGAGCCCGGGACAGGCGCUGCAGGAUUAACCCCUGUCACCUGCAGUCAGAUGUCUCACCUGCUGCCCUGCAACGGAGACGCAUGCAAAUCAGGGAAAGUCCAUGUUGGAACUGACUCUGGGGUCAGACGCCGCCCCUCCCCUGCCUCAGGACAACCGCAUGACCUGUGACACCAGUGCUCCUCUUCUGGAAUACAGAUAAUUGCAGUACCAUGACAAUAAGCUGUAUGUCCACUCCCAAAGAAACCAUCUGUGAAUCUCUGAUGAGCGUCUCCUGUGAGGCAAUGUAAAGCAUUCAGAACCUUCGAGUGACAUCAUGAUCUGCAUUGGAAAAAUUGUAAAGACGAGUGAUAAAAUACAACAUCAGAGAACUAUUCCCGACAAUCACCAUCUUACUUAUUAUUUUGCAUACAAACGGUCAGAAUAAUUUAUUAGGCCAACAGUUCAUUCGUUCAGAACAUGUGACUGGAAAAAUUGGAAUAUGUAUGAGACUGGAAUUAAUAUACUGUCAAUGGCAGCAUCAUCAGCAAGGUGAAGUGACAGCUAUAAAUAAAUUAAUAAAGUAAAAAAAAACUUAACCGAAAGAAAGAUGCACACAUCAUUUUUGUCCUGUGUUUUUGAAUUUGACUUUGAUAGAUUGGAGCGCUUUAUUAUGAUAGGAUGCAGCAUGUAUGUUACACAAGUACACCCUCCAGGUGAGGGCCAGAUGGAUCUUCCCUCUCUCUCUCUCUCGCUCCGUCUCUGUCUCUCUACCUCUCUGGCUCCAGGCUUGAUUACACUCACCACAUAGUGGCCCGGUUGGAGACAAAACAAAGCAAGUGGAAGUACUGAGGGCCUUAGAUGGAACUAUUUAAUACAGUUUUUCCCUUGUGUGUGUGUGUGUGUUCCACACACAGCUCAGCCCCAACAAACACAUGCAAGAUGUUAGCUGUGCUGGAAUAGACUGCAAACAUCUUAGACUCAUACACUUAAUGGCCAUCAGUGGCAUUUUCCACAAGGCAACUGUAUCUUUUUGCAAUUAUCAUUUUUUUAAACCAAUUCUUUGCUGCUGCAUUUCCUCCAUGUUCUCUAAAUUAUUAAUUUCAAUAAUAUUAUUGCACAAAAUGUUACAGUCUGCCAAUGAGAAGAUGCAGCACCUCAAAGCAUCUUAUAAAGCAAGGACAAUGAGCUUACCCUACUGUAAAAUAAGUACGUCACCAAUAUGGAUAAAUCAAUUUGUAAUGUUGCCAAAAAAGUGCAUGUUGAAAACAAUUUCACCAGCCAACCAAUGUUUAUCAUCAAG
ensembl:lncRNA